UUCUAAUACAUUAGAUAUUUCCCCGCUCAGAGAAACGGUUUCAUAUAAUUUAAAUCAUUGUCAUGUUUAUUUCCAACAAAACUUGCAUCAUCAGGUGAGUCCAAAGCACUAAGCUUACACGUCAGAACUCUUCAUAAUGGUGGAAUGUUAGGGGUUCACAUCAGAUAGACAUUACAAUCCACAGGAUCCCCAGAAAUCUUAUGUGGAUAAAAUGUAAAGUGCUCUAAUGAUGAUUAUUAUUAUUAUUAUUAUUAUUAUUAUGAUAUUUAUAGAGCGCCGUCAAAUUCCGCAGCGCUUUACAAUGGGUGGACGAACAAACAUGUAUUUGUAACCAGACAAGUUGGACACACAGGAACAGAGGGGUUGAGGGCCCUGCUCAAUGAGCUUACAUGCUAGAGGGAGUGGGGUAAAAUGACACAAAAAGGUAAGGAUAGUAUUAGACUAGUGACAGUUGCAGAAGAGGAAUCAGUCAGGAGCUAUUAACAGUUUAAUGAUGUAGGGAUAAAGCCAUUGGGGGGUGCUAGAGGGGCUGGGGGGGGGGGACUUUGGGGUCUGAAGCCCCAAAUGUGAGACUCUAGUCCAGGAUCUCUACAAGUAGUGGAGGGAGCUGGUGGAUAUUGUUUUUUUAUUUUUUUUUAUUUUACAUCUGGCAGUCGUUUCUCAAAGCAGCCACUGGAUACAAAAUGAAAGAUCUGGGGGAGGAGGGCCCCCACUGCCGACUUCGAGCGGAGGAGGCGACACAACCGGGAACCUGUAAGCCCAUUACCUGGAGGCAGCACGGUUGUCCCUGGUCAGUUACAGCUGACUCUUCCUCAUAGGGGGUUUUAUUGUGGUAGUGGCAGGACUUCCAGGGCUUUGCCUCUGGCACAGACUAGUGCCAGGAUGGAUUUGCGGUCAGUAGGCCCCUCUGGCAGAGGGGGUGCUACUGGGUCUGGGUGCAGGCCCCUGGCAAGUCUGGUUUGGGAUCCCCUGGAUAUGCAGGAGGAUGGCGUUGCCACUGAUCCUUCCCGUCCAGGGGUGCAGCUAGGGUGAAGCGCAGGGAAUCGGUAGUGGCCCCGUAGCAGGGCUCUUGGAGAAGCAGGCAUCACGAGUGGGCGGGGGGCUGCCGGGACAGGACACGGGAACUGUCCCAUCACAGGUCCCCCACAUUGAGUCCACAGAGGCUAGAUGGCAUCCGCUGGGGUGCACUGCCAGUGUCACCAGUGGGGUUGGGUCAGGAAUAUGGAAUGCAGAUGGGUCAGCUGAGGCGGAUGUUGGCAGGAGGUGAGGCUUGAAGGCGAACUGCAGGUGUAACACUUUGGCUAGGAGCUGUGAGUCUGGUGGUGCAGCGGAGAGGCGUAGGGUGCUGUAGGGGUCACGCAAGGCAUUGGACAGAUCGAGAAGUAGCAGGUCCCCAGGUGCGGCUAGGAGGAGUAGAGCAAGUCCAGCGGAUAACAGGGGGUGUCAGACGGCAGUGUCCCCAGGAGAGGCGGCUAUACUUUGGGUGUUGGCGUGAGAUAGACUAUAAAGGCCAAAUUGGACUUUCCUAAAAAAAAUCAAAAAAAAAGCCUGCCCAGUUCUGGGACAGCAUUCUGUGGGCAGAUGAAGCUAAGAUCAACCUGUACCAGAAUGGUGGGAAGAAAAAAGUAUGGAGAAGACUUGGAAUGGCAUGAUCUGAGGCAUACCACAUCAUCUGUAAAACCCUGGCUUCAGAGCACCUGGGUUACUUGGUGAGUGCGAUAUCCAGUAUGUCUCUACUAUAAUUAUAUAUUGUCUUCUCAGAUUCGGCCAAAUUGAGCAAAGUUGAUUGGACGGUGCUUCACUUUACAGAUGGACAAUGACCCAAAACAUACUACGAAAGCAACCCAGGAAUUUUAUAAGGCAAAGAAGUGGAAUAUUCUGCAAUGACAGAAUCCGACCGAGCAGGCAUUUCACUUGCUGAAGACAAAACUUGAGGCAGAAAGACAGAUGAACAAACAGCAACCACUUCAGUAAAAAGGAGGAAAGGAAACCCAGCAUGUGAUGAAGUCCACGAG